rnacentral:lncRNA from 1 species
AAGACCACCGGGCAGAAGAACAAGAUUACCAUCACCAAUGACAAGGGCAGACUCUCGAAGGAGGAGAUUGAGAAGAUGGUUCAGGAAGCAGAGAAGUACAAGUCUGAGGAUGAGGAGCACAAGAAGAAGGUCGAGGCGAAGAAUGCUUUGGAGAACUACUCAUACAAUAUGAGGAACACUGUGAAAGAUGAGAAGAUUGCAUCCAAACUGUCCGCUGAAGACAAGAAGAAGAUUGAGGAUGCCAUUGAGGAAGCCAUCCAAUGGCUUGAUGGCAACCAGCUUGCCGAGGCUGAUGAAUUUGAAGACAAAAUGAAGGAACUCGAGGGCAUCUGCAACCCAAUCAUUGCAAAAAUGUACCAGGGCGCUGGCGGCGACAUGGGUGGUGCCAUGGAUGAUGAGGGUCCUGCUCCUAGCGGCGGCGGUGCUGGUCCUAAGAUUGAGGAGGUGGACUAAGUUGGUGCUCCUAUAUUGUUUUUUAUUUCUUAAUUAGAGACCUGCAAUUUUAUUUUAAAGAUCUAUGUGGCUAUGAUUUUUGCUUAGUAGUUGAAUUAUAUUAUUUUCAUUCUGCAAUCAAGUACUGCUAUCUUUUAUUUCUCGGUUUUCAUCAAAUGUUUGCUCUUCCUUAUGUCUUAGUCUUAGUUCCCCUUUGAGCUUGAGGUCAACUUUAUAUUAUAGCUUAACUAAAUUGAGUUAGGCGAAGUGUGAAAGACGCCUAUUUUGUUUUUUUGUUUCUCUUAAUCCUAACUAAGCGGAUUUUGACCAGGGAGGUUGCCGAUUUGUUUAGUACUUAUAAUAGUAGUAAAUUUCUUUUAUUUUGGGUCAAGGGGGUACUACUAAGAGGGGUCGGAUUUGCUAAACAAUAUUUCCAGAUCUGAAAGGCCAAAUUCUGUCGAGGGUCUCCACACCUCUUUGAUGUCAGUAGUCUUUAGUUUCUAGUAUCUUUAACCUUCUACACCUCACGACAAUUGGGAACAAGCAGAGAAAUAGCAUGUAACUAUCAACUCCUUGUAACGUGCAAAAUGUUUUAAAAUGAAAUUAUAUUAAAAGAGGAAGAAAUCCUCUAAAAGGGAUCCCACAAUAAUUAAAAAAAAAGGUUCUUAAUCCUCUUCAACUCUUCCCAUGAAGAGAUACUAAUAAGAUAGUCCUAAAUAAGUUUUGAGCGAAUACUAGGUAAUCAGGUCAAAUCUAUACGUGGCAAAAAGUGAUUGGCUCUCAUGAUGUGGACUUGUGGUCCACAAAAAUAAAAGAUAUGUCCAUCCUCUCGCAAUGUCCGCGAAGGAGCCAUAUUGCCAAUCCAAUCAAUCUUCUAUUACCAAAUCCUUAAACUCACAAAUUUUGUCACUUUGUUUAUUUUCCUAUCCUCGACCAUAUAGUCUAUUUCUAUCUUUAUAGGAUAGAGAUAAGAUCUGCUUACACAUUAUCCUCCCCAGACCUCACUUAUAAAAAUAAACUGAAUUUAUUGUUAUUGUUGACCAUAUAGUCCCUCUCUCUUUAUCACAAUCAUGAUUUAGCUUGGGGAAUUUCGUGUGGUUGAGAAUGGAGUGGACGUAGUUUACUGAAAAUUGUCUUCUUGAGCAAAGCAAACCAAGACAAGUUGAAGGCAAAGGAAAUAACACUACAAUAAAGACAAUGAAAGGGGGCAGAAAAAUCAAUAGCUACUUGUAGUGGGAUGGAUACCUUUGGCUCAAUAAUAGAAUUCGUGUGGGAACCAUAUAAUUUACUCCUUAUGUGACAUAGAUUUUAUUUGGAAAAAUUCAACAACAUACCCAGUAUUAUCCAAUACCGUGGGGUCUGGAGAGGAUAGUGUAUACGCAGACCUCACCCUACUUUGUAAAGAUAGAGAGGCUAUUUCCAAUAGACCAUCGACUCAAGAUUAUUUGGAAAAAUAUAAAACAAAAAUCGGGAUAAAGCACUUGAUAGCCUUGACCACGACAAUUAACAACUUGCAAGAAAAGACAGGAUUAAGUUUUGAAAAACAGCUUCUGUAAAUUAAAUAAUUAAGUCACGACAUACUACACCUAUUCAAUAUUUUUAUAUGGCACAAAUAUAGGCAGGCUCUCAUGAUGUGGAAUUGGGGUCCUUAACACAUAACAUAAGUCCUCCAAAAUAUCCAAGUGGGGUUCUUUUGAGUUAUAUGAACAAGACCAUAUCACCUAUCCAACAACCACUCUAUAAUCCUUCCUCAACCUAACAACCUUAUCACUUUCCUUCUUUCAUUUUCUUUAAAAAAUUACUUUUUGUUAAUUGCGCUCAUCUCGACUAUUCCUUAGGGAUAACACAGAAUUUGAAGAUCGGGGUGCACUUAUAAAUUCAACAAAAAUCUGUAUCCACCACUAAUAUAUCACUAUUUUCUAUAAAAAUAUUUACAUGAAAUUUUUGCCGAACUUUAUGGGUGCAGGUGACCCCUCCCUAUAUAGCAUAGGUCCGCCUCUAAGUAUAUGUAUCGAAUAAUCCUACCCAUGACACGACUUAGACAAAUGAGAAGAAAGCACCUAGCGUAUUUUUAAAUUUCUGUUGAAAUUUGAACACCAAUUUCUCAUGAUUUUUAUCUCAUUUCAUUAACCGCUAGUCGUAUCAUGGCGAUUAUGUUACCAUCCUUUUCUUCAAAAACCAUACACAACAUCAGCCUGUCUCAAAUCUCUUGCUAAAAAUCAUGUUUGGCUUAGGGGAGGAGAUUAUUUACUGAAAUUUGCUUUCUUGAGCAUCCAUACAAAAAGGAAAAUAAGUUCAAAAUUCCUCAUCUAAAGCUUACAAGCUAUCCAAGAUAAGUUGAUGCCAAAGGUGUGGCUGCCUUAUAUACCUCUUUAUUUCUGUGGCCUCAAUUUUAUUUUGAAAAAUUCACAACACAACAGAUUCACAUGUAUGAAGUAAUUUCUUGAAUACCAAAAUCCAUUCUACAAUGCAACAUUUAACAUUCUUCAGAAAGAGAACCAAAUGCUUCGUUUUGUUAGCUAACCAAAUUACUAUGCUAAGCAUGAGAAGCUAUGAAGUUUAAUAGAUAACACAACAUCAAUUACUAUGCUAAUAAACCAAGGAGUGAAAUUUCAUAGCAAACACUGUUACAACAAAAACUAGCUGGAAAAAGACUACCAAACACAACAUUUAGUGUGUGAAAAUGGAACACAAGAUCAUAUUCAGUUCCAUAAACCACAAUAUAGAUAAUAUAAAGUCAGCGUCCAAUGAAGCAUCGGCCCUAACAACCACCCAUGCAUAUCUCCGAGUAAGCGUUUAGGUCAACAUGAGAUCAUUUCCCACAAGGUGAGGACGAAGACAUACCCGAACUUCAUGCUCUUCUUCCGGCCCCUCGCGAACUUUUGGCACCAAUAUCUCAAGCACUGUUCCUGAUCCAUCGUAGUAUGCUUCUAUUUUAGCAUCUUCAGGAAUUCUGGUUGAAAGAGGGAUCUCUCUGACAAACUCCCCCGGAGGGCAAUGUUCUGAGGACGACGCUUCAAGCUUGAAAGUCCUGUUCUGUCUCUUGAUGAACGGGAUUCGAGAUGUGCUCAAACAAGAAACCUUGAUUAUCCCAUGUGUGAGCGUGUUCCUCCACGAAACUUUCACCCUUUGAAGAUCUACAAAUGGCAAACUGAUUAUGAUCAAAUAGCCUUCAUCGUCUUCGUAGAUGGAUUUUGCAGCUGUUACGGGCCCAUAAACAUCCCUCAUCACCCCACUAAAUUCAUUUAACCAAUAUGGUUCAUUUGGGUGAAUUUCCAGGUCUGGAAUUUGAUAGGAAGUAGGAGGAUUUACUUGCAGAUAACACUCUUCUUCAUUUCCAUUCGAGAAGAAAUCCUUUUUCCUUUUGCCAUUGACAGGUAGUAGUAGAUCCAUCGCCUCUCCGUUGCUAUGAUUGGACGGCUGAGUUGACAAAUUAAGUCCAGAGCCAUUAAGCAAUUUCUUACUCUUUAUUGGCGGAGCUGGCCUCUCAAGCUCAAAUUCAGUGGUGGGGAUGUUUCUCCACGAACUAAAGUCACUAGCUUCCGGUGGAAUAGUGAAGUUGACGUCCCUACCUGUGAGUUCCUUCCAUCUUUUGCGCUCCUCUUCAUCAAGAACCAUGAGAUUCGGAGAUGGCACAACCUCGAUCCCAUGAACACAUUGAGGAUUUGAUAGGCCUCUGUAAUGCUUCCGUUGCAUCCUAUGGGAUCGAAUGAAACCCCUGUCGGCACUAAAGGGAAAUGGACGUUCACCUUGUCGAGAAUGACCAUUCAUGUAACUCCGUAGCUGCAUCUUACCCAGUGCAUUCUCGGGCCUAUCCUUGAAUACCCACAUGUACAUAUUCUCCAUAUCAUGCUGAACCAUGAAAACGUCGAGCUGUAGAUCAGAUUUAUCAAACCCGGAAACCCCAUUACUAUCUCGGACCAUCUUUGGCUUAGAUUUCUCAUUUAAAACAGGCUUAAAGUAAAAGCUAAAGAAAAACCAAGCGCCCCAGAUGCUAUCUACUCGUUUCACACAUUUCCUCCCAACUUUAGGCACACUAAGAAAUGUUUCAGGUUCAUAGAUCUGAGUACCAAGCCCGACAUCAAGAAUAUCACAGUGUUCCGAGUUCCAUGGCUGAGGAGGCGAGCUACGCUCAGCUGAUAAGGGCAGAUUGAUGUCAGGCGGACGAGUAAUAACAACUUGGCGAUUCAUCUCGAGGUCUAAUUCAUCAUGUGAAGAAGAAGCACUUGAAUCCAUUGACAAUAGGGUUGAAGGGUGAUGAUUAUUCUCCAUUGACAAUGUUUUAAGAAGAGUAUCUACCAUUUCACAAAUUUAUCCCCUUAAAAAUAAAGGGACUCUAUUGCUAAAUGCUAGCUCCAAUAUUUAAGUACCCAAAUGAACUUUUUUGACAAAGAAUUGUUCUUUACAAACAACACAUCCAUCUUGAUAAUCCCAACCACAACAUUCACACCACCACUAAAUCCCUUUAACUUAUUUCAUCACAUAACUACAAACCCCAAAUAGGAAAAUAGUCAAAAUAUUCAGCAACAGCUAUAAAACUCCAAAGAAAAGCUAUAAAAAUGAAAUCUUGGAAACCCCAUAGUCUUUAUUUCCCCCAAAACCUACAGAAAAACUGUAUCUUUUUGCAUCUAAUAACAGAACUAUAUGUAUUUUUGAUUAUGUAAAAAUCAAGAAAAUUGAUAUGGGACUAGAAAAAAGGAGAAUGUAUUACCAAUCAAUAAAGCCAAGGCCCAAGAAAAGGACUAAAUCAGAAGGGAUCUUAGAUGAAUACCUUUUAGGAUAAGCUUCAACAACUAAAAACCCACAAAUAUUUGGACACUCUGAAGAAUCAAUAGCCCUUACCAUCCUCAUAUCUUCACUUUCUACUAGUAAUUGAUUUUUUACUUUUGGUUUGAAGAAUUAACACAAACACACAGCAAUUACAUAGGAAUGAAGUGAAAAAAGAACUCAAGUCAAGACUACAAAGAGAGAGGGGAAAAAAGGGGGACACAAAUAUAUGGGGAAAUUAGUUUGUGCUUUUGCUGUUUGGUGGUGACAAACAGAAAUACCCUGUACUAGAUAACACCGUUUGAUCAAAGAGUGUUCACCGUUUGAUUGAUCUAAGAACAGCUGUCACCAUUUUCACUAACGGUGACGGUGGUUUUUUGGACUGUUUGUGGGGUAGAUAUAAAGUCGGGGAUGGUAAGAGAUUGAUAUAAUUAAUUAGGGUUGGUGUUUAGUGAGUUGCUUGUACCAUUUGAAGUUUUACUACUUUUUGAGUUGUUUAGAUUUUGUUUAUUUAUGUUUCACACAAAGUUUGACUUUACUAUUUUUUACUCUCCUCGCUAUCAAGAGGAAGUGAUAUGCCUCGGAAGAUUGGUUCGGACAUGUGAAGAAGAAGAACAUAAAUAGGGAAUAUCACACAAAUAAUUGGUAAGAUUUAAUAUAUUUUUUUAAGUCGAUAUACAUUUAUGAUAUAUUGAUAAUGUAUAAUUAUAAAUAUGUGGUAGUAUUUUAAUAUUUUGUGAACAAGUGACUAUGAAUAUCUACACUUUUGCAUGAACAUAUGUGGCCAAAUAGCUAAGCCAUAAAUAAGUGACAAUCAUCUUUCAUGCAAUUAAACACUUGGCAAUUUAAGAAACUCCUAGUAUCUCUAUAAAUAGUCUUCUUGAUUUCAUCCGUAAGUGCAAUCAACAAAAAUUGGUCUUUUUACACUUUUCUUAGCUAAUUAUUGCUUUCUUCUUUAGCUAAUCAUUUCUAUAAUUAUUAUUCCUACUAUUGACCAAAUCAUUAUCUCUUGUUAUUAUUUCUUCCCUCCGGUUAAUUCUAACUUGCUGGAUUUAUUGUUUAAUUUUGCUGAUUCCUGUAUUCUCUAAAUAAAUAGAGAUGUGCUUGUUUAAUCCUGGGGAAACAUUUCACAUUGUUGAAAUAGUUUCUUAGGACAGUGCCUACCACGACUCAAGCCAAUCCGUGUAUAUUCUUACAAAUAAUAUUAUUGCAGUAUUAUUAUUUUUAUUUUUUCGGUGUCAUUUCCCCUACAAUCUAAGAAACUAUGACAAGUAAUACUACUACGGAAAUUUUUGAUGGUGCUACCAAUUUUGGUGUUGUCUCCGCUGCUACGGUUCCAGUUGUCCUGUCAGAUAUUCAUGGUGUUGCAAAUACGUUAUUGCAUCCACAACUUUGGCAGAUACUAAUGUCAAAACACAGGUAUGUAAAUAGACAUAGUUACAUAUCCAAUGCUAAAAUUAAAACCUUCAAGAAAAAUGCACCUCAAUGCAAAUGAAGAGUUGGGAUACAUGAUAAUCUCGCUAAGUCAAAAUUAAAUUUGCCUAAAGCGGAUAAUAUAAUUGUUGCGGUCAUUUCCCAAAUAAAUAAUGUGGUCAAUGUGAGAGAUUGGGUGAUAGACUCUAGUGCUACUAGGCACAUUUGUGCAAACAAAAAUGAAUUUUUGUCUUACACCCAAGUUGAGGCAGGAGAAGAAACUAUUUAUCUUGGUGACUCAAGAAUAACUCGUGUUCUUGGGAAAGGAAAAAUUCUUCUCAAACUCACAUCUGGUAAAACUCUAGCAUUGAGAGAUAUUUUGCAUGUUCCUAAUAUUUUUGUGGGGUUAUUAGUAAAAGUUGGAAUGAAGGUUUCUUUUGAAAAUAAUGAGGUCGUAUUGACCAAAAAUAAUAUUUUUGUGGGCAAUGGAUAUUGUAACCAUGAUUUAUUUGUACUUAAAACUUCCGAUACUAGCAAUAAAAAUGCAUCUUCUUCUGCUUAUAUGGUUGAGUCAAUUUCUUUGUGGCAUGCUAGAUUAUGACAUGUUAAUGUUGCAUAUAUAUAGAAAAUGCCGUCGCUAGGAUUAAUAUCUGGUUUAGACUCAAAAUAAUUUUGACAAGUGUGAAAUAUGUGCUGAAGCUAAAAGUACUAGAAAGACUUGUGUUUCCGUAAAUAGAGAAACUGAAUUGUUAUCCUUGAUUCACACCGAUUUAGGCGAUUUAAAGUAGACUAUGACAAGAGGUGGUAAAAGAUAUUAUAUGACUUUUAUUGAUAAUGUUUCUAGAUAUACUAAGUUGUAUUUACUUAGAAAUAAAGAUGAUGCUUUAAUGGCUUUUAUUUNNNNNNNNNNNNNNNNNNNNNNNNNNNNNNNNNNNNNNNNNNNNNNNNNNNNNNNNNNNNNNNNNNNNNNNNNNNNNNNNNNNNNNNNNNNNNNNNNNNNNNNNNNNNNNNNNNNNNNNNNNNNNNNNNNNNNNNNNNNNNNNNNNNNNNNNNNNNNNNNNNNNNNNNNNNNNNNNNNNNNNNNNNNNNNNNNNNNNNNNNNNNNNNNNNNNNNNNNNNNNNNNNNNNNNNNNNNNNNNNNNNNNNNNNNNNNNNNNNNNNNNNNNNNNNNNNNNNNNNNNNNNNNNNNNNNNNNNNNNNNNNNNNNNNNNNNNNNNNNNNNNNNNNNNNNNNNNNNNNNNNNNNNNNNNNNNGUAACUCCGCCUUAUUCACCUGAGUCAAAUGGAGUAGCUGAAAGGAAAAAUAGAACAUUGAAAGAGAUGAUGAACUCUAUGUUAGUUAGUUCUAAUGCUCCUGAUAAUUUGUGGGGUCAAGCUAUAUUAUCUGCUUGUCACUUACAAAAUAGAGUACCACAUAGAAGAACUGGCAAAACUCCGUAUGAAUUGCGGAAGGGUUAUAAAUCUAACUUGAAAUAUUUAAAAAUGUGGGGGUGCCUUGCUAAAGUUCUUUUGCCUGAACCUAAAAGGAGGGAAAUAGGUUCUAAAACUGCUGAUUGCAUGCUUAUUGAUAUGCUGAACAUAGUGCUGCAUAUAGAUUUCUUGUUUUAAAAAGUGAUAUGCUUGAUUGCAAUACUAUAUUUGAGACAAAGAAUGUUGAGUUCUUUGAAUAUAUUUAUCCAUUUUCUGAUAAAAUUUCUCAUACACCUGUUGAAACAAAUAGUGAAGUUACCUCUAAUAAGGAACUGAGAGGGAGCAAAAGACCUAGGAAAGAAUAUUUUUCUUAUGGAAAUGAUUUUCAAACCUUUCUUGUCAAUAAUGAACCAUCAAAUUAUUUUGAAGCUAUAUCUUCUUCAGAAGUUAAACAUUGGAAAGAGGCAAUAAAAGUUGAAAUUGAUUCUAUUAUGAAAAAUAAUACAUGGAUUUUAACUGAUUUACCCCCUGGUACA